AACGAACGCUGGCGGCAUGCCUAACACAUGCAAGUCGAACGAAGCCUUCGGGCUUAUUGGCGCACGGGUGCGUAACGCGUGGGAAUCUGCCCCUUGCUUCCGAAUAACAGUUAGAAAUGACUGCUAAUACCGGAUGAAGUCUUCGGACCAAAGAUUUAUCGGGAAGGGAUGAGCCCGCGUAGGAUUAGGUAGUUGGUGGGGUAAAGGCCUACCAAGCCGACGAUCCUUAGCUGGUCUGGGAGGAUGAUCAGCCACACUGGGACUGAGACACGGCCCAGACUCCUACGGGAGGGAGCAGUGGGGAAUAUUGGACAAGGGACGCAAGUCUGAUACAGCAAUGCCGGGUGAGUGAUGAAGGGCUUAGGGUUGUAAAGCUCUUUUACCAGGGAUGAUAAUGACAGUACCUGGAGAAUAAGCACCGGCUAACUCCGUG
rnacentral:rRNA from 1 species